rnacentral:rRNA from 1 species
UACGGGGGGGGGCAAGCGUUGUUCGGAAUUACUGGGCGUAAAGGGCUCGUAGGCGGCCAACUAAGUCAGACGUGAAAUCCCUCGGCUUAACCGGGGAACUGCGUCUGAUACUGGAUGGCUUGAGUUCGGGAGAGGGAUGCGGAAUUCCAGGUGUAGCGGUGAAAUGCGUAGAUAUCUGGAGGAACACCGGUGGCGAAGGCGGCAUCCUGGACCGAUACUGACGCUGAUGAGCGAAAGCCAGGGGAGCAAAGCGGG